CAGCCCCUCGAGUGGUGGGGAUGAUUAUUUGGCCUAAAGCGUCCGUAGCCGGCCGUGUAAGUCUCCCGUUAAAUCCAGCGUCUCAAGCGUUGGACUGCAGGAGAUACUGUACGGCUAGAGAGUGGGAGAGGUCAGCGGUAUUCUGGGGGUAGGGGCGAAAUCCUUUGAUCCCCGGGGGACCACCAGUGGCGAAGGCUGCUGACUAGAACACGUCUGACGGUCAGGGACGAAAGCUGGGGUAGCGAACCGGAUUAGAUACCCGAGUAGUCC
rnacentral:rRNA from 1 species